rnacentral:rRNA from 1 species
AACGAACGCUGGCGGCAGGCUUAACACAUGCAAGUCGAACGCCCCGCAAGGGGAGUGGCAGACGGGUGAGUAAAGCGUGGGAAUCUACCCAUCCCUACGGAACAACUCCGGGAAACUGGAGCUAAUACCGUAUACGCCCUUAGGGGGAAAGAUUUAUCGGGGAUGGAUGGGCCCGCGUUGGAUUAGCUAGUUGGUGGGGUAAAGGCCUACCAAGGCGACGAUCCAUAGCUGGUCUGAGAGGAUGAUCAGCCACAUUGGGACUGAGACACGGCCCAAACUCCGACGGGAGGCAGCAGUGGGGAAUAUUGGACAAUGGGCGCAAGCCUGUUCCAGCCAUGCCGGGGGAGUGAUGAAGGCCUUAGGGUUGUAAAGCUCUUUCACCGAUGAAGAUAAUGACGGUAGUCGGAGAAGAAGCCCCGGCUAACUUCGUGCCAGCAGCCGCCGUAAGAC